rnacentral:rRNA from 1 species
UACGUAGGGUGCAAGCGUUGUCCGGAAUUAUUGGGCGUAAAGAGCUCGUAGGCGGCUUAUCAAGUCGGGUGUGAAAACUCCAGGCUCAACCUGGAGACGCCACUCGAGACUGCUAUGGCUAGAGUCCGGUAGGGGACCACGGAAUUCCUGGUGUAGCGGUGAAAUGCGCAGAUAUCAGGAGGAACACCGGUGGCGAAGGCGGUGGUCUGGGCCGGCACUGACGCUGAGGAGCGAAAGCGUGGGGAGCAAACAGG